AGACAGCAGUCGCCGCGGUAAUACGAAGGGUGCAAGCGUUAAUCGGAAUUACUGGGCGUAAAGCGUGCGUAGGCGGUGAGUUAAGUCUGCUGUGAAAUCCCCGGGCUCAACCUGGGAAUGGCAGUGGAUACUGGCUCGCUAGAGUGUGUCAGAGGAUGGUGGAAUUCCCGGUGUAGCGGUGAAAUGCGUAGAGAUCGGGAGGAACAUCAGUGGCGAAGGCGGCCAUCUGGGACAACACUGACGCUGAGGCACGAAAGCGUGGGGAGCAAACAGGAUUAGAUACCCCCGUAGUCCCUGUCUCUUAUAC
rnacentral:rRNA from 1 species